rnacentral:lncRNA from 1 species
AGAGUGAAGGAGUGAGCUCGCCAAGCACAACCAGCAGGGAUGAAAGGCUAACUCAGUGAACAACAGAAAGACAGACGGACUUCUGAACAGACACACCGACCAGCAGAAACCACUGGGGAAAGCAACAGUCAGCCAGUGCGACUGACUUAGAGUCCCAAACAGCUAUCUUCUUCUGGGGACAACAAAGAGAGGUGGCUCAGCAUGCAAGCAUGGGGAUUGGAGUCUCAAAACUUCGAGAAUCCACCUAAACCUGAGUGUGGUGGUGCAUGGCUCUAAUCCCUGUUUACAGGGGUUCCAAGCUAAGAAAACGAAAGCACCUCCUUUGCUUUCUGAAUCAUGGACACAGAAACCUACACAAAACACUUGAGAUGAAUUUUCUCUUGAUAUAAAGAAGAAAAAUUUCCAUCCCUCAAUUCAGGAUAAUUUUAAACUAUUUGUCACUAAAAGGACAGAACCAGUUACAAAUAACAGAACAGCACACAGCCCUGCUCUUGGGGGAGGGAGGACUGAAGUCAGGGGGAGGGUGGACUGAAGUCACGGUUAUCUACACAGGAACUGAUGACUGGAAAUCAGAAGACAGCAAGGACACAUUCAGAUUGAAGACCACAGACAUCAUCAUGACUGCUUUCAUUGACACCGGCCCUGACAUUUCUGGCUGAUUAUAGAUGCCAGAAUAUAAAGUAGAAAUUCCCCAGGGGCCAACUCCUAUCUAAUAUACGCUGAAAUAUAAGACAGUUUGCAAGGACAAUGAAGAUUGUGACAGAGAGGGAGUGACACAUGGCCUUGCACAUAAUUUUAUAAAAUGCACGACCCCUCAGCACCAAUC